UGUCGACUUUCUUCAAGCCUCCGCGCAAAGAAUGCCCUUGCAAUUGAAUAAAUAGCUAUUCUUUACAACGGCGCAAGAACAAACGUUGGGAGUGGGUUUACUAGCGCUGUAUUUCCUUUUCUUUGCGCCUCAAGAUGUCUCAUUACGAAACUAGUAGUCCCUAUUCACUGAAUUUCUUCCAGACACUAGCUUGGUGUCGUCAGCAUAAGAGUAUCCAAGGAGAUUACAGACUCAAGGGUAAUUCGUGCAGUGGUGCGAUAAAGAGUAUGAGGAGGAUUGGUGAUUGGUACUAGGAUGGUGCCUUUUGGAACUCCGGAUAUCACUUGACAAGUGCGACUUAAGCACCCUUCAACCAACUUGCACAACUUGGAUUUGUUUGUUUAGUUGAUGUGAGGCAAGGAUACCUUUAACAGGAGGAAUGGACAUGGCAACUGGCGAUGCUAGGCCACUUGAUGCCACUUUGUGAUAGCAAUAUUUCAGCUCCCCAAAAGUCACCAGGGAUCCUACCAUACAUUAUGGAAAGCAAAGUACUCGUAUUGGCGGUCACGCACCAUUGUCCAGAUCUCGGCCCAAUGCCUUCAACGACGGGAACUGACAAAGGUCCUGUUAAAUCUGACCCAUUCACUCUACUGUAAUAACCAAGAUUUUAAUCAUUUACCUCCAAUAUAUUAAUGUAAUAUAUUAUGA